rnacentral:miRNA from 1 species
GCACAAAUAUGCACUACAAAC